rnacentral:lncRNA from 1 species
CAGCAGCAUGAUCAGUUCCUAUAUGCAGCCAGAGCAGAAAGUCUCAGUUGGUCCCCCUCCAUCCCCUCACUUGAUGGUCGAGCCCUCUAGUGGGCAUGUUAGUCCUGGUGAAACACUGUCAUUCCACUGUCAGGCUCCACCUGACCGUCAGAAACAGUCUCCUGAGGCUUUUCUCUUGCUCCGGAGAGCCAAAGGAACCCCGGGCUCCAUGGUCGCUCCAGCCCAGCUGGUGUCUGAGUCUCAUGAUGCUCACUUCAAUGUGAAGACAAAGGGACGAGAGGACGGUGGAGAGUAUGUCUGCCUCUACCAACUCAAAUCACAGAAGACGGGACAGGUGAACUCCACAGCCAGUCAGCCGGUACACAUUACUGUCAUAGAGCUCCCAGUCCCCACUCUGUCCUUGUCCCGACACAAGGGUGAAGUUCUGGAGUGUGUUGGGUCACCCUCAUAUCCGCAAGGCUACUUCAGUUUAUUUCGUGUCGGUGUCCUGUCACCUGAGGCGACCCAUCAGGCUUCCCUGACCCAACACAGUGCUAGAUUUCCCAUACCCACCCGUUAUGAACAUGGUGCACAGUAUCAGUGUCAGUACAGCGUGUCAUUGGGCAACUCCAAGGCGUACUCUAAAAUGAGCUCACCAGUAACUAUCCCAUGCAUUUCAGGUACUGAAUGUAUUAUACUAAAUGUGAUAUGAUAUCUCAUGAUGUUACAUAAGAUCUUAAAAUCUGAUUUAUUGCAUAAUUUUUCAGGAUAUCAUGAAUGCACAUCGAGC